CUGUUGCCCAGGCUGGAGUGCAGUGGCAUAAUCAUAGCUCAUUGUAACCUUGAUGUCCUGCGCUCAAACCAUCCUCCUGCAUCAGCCUCUCUAAGCGCUGGGAUUAGAGGCAUGAGCCACUAUGCCUGGCCCUGAAAGACUUUGUAAAUAAAAGGUUAUCAUUAUCGACACUGUAUUUUCACAGAUCACUCUGGAGAAACUGAUUUCUGUUGGGUUCUUUCAUCCCCACUAUUCUUGGGGAAGAUACGAAGGUGAUGCUUCGGAAGGAGAUGCAAAGUGCUCCACAUUAUCUUCCUGUAGAACCACGCUCCACAUUCCUCCCCCACUCCUCAAGAUGCAACAGUCAAGCCGCCAACUUGGAAGCAGAGAGACCAGACCCUCACCAGAUAACUGAACCUGCUAGUGCCUUCAUCUUGGAUUUCCUGACUUCCAGACUUGUGAGGAAACAAAUUCCCAUUCUUUAUAAAUUACCCAGUCUGUGGUAUUCUGUUAUAGCAGCUUAAAACAGACUAACACAAUGCCCUCAACCCACCUCUCUGCCUUGGCACCCAUCACACUGUGUAGCAACAAAUCUUGGCCUGUCUCUUCCCUAUGAGUAUGUUGCCUUCAUCCAUUCUUCCACUCACUCAACUGGUUUUACUGAGUGCCUAUUUUGGGCCUAGCAAUAGCUAGGUCUUACAUUCAGGACCUCAAGAAGGGACAGAAACUCACACAACCUCAACCCUUAAGGAGAUCAGCACAGAAAAUACCGUAAAGGAGACAGAGUGUAGUAUUAGACAAUAACAAGGGCAGAGUGACUUAACAAAGCAGGAGGAGAAGACUUUCUUGGGAAAUCACAUUUUUGAUGACACCUCAAGGUCAACGAGUACUUCAGUAUACUAUACUCUGGUGUCUAGUAGAGGCAUAGCACGUAACAGAGCUCAGUAAAUGCUUAACAAAUUAAUGAAUGAGUGAUAUAUGUGAAAACACUUUAUAUGCAGUCGAAGUACCACACAGAUGUUAGCUAUCAUCAUUUAGUUAAUAUGGAGAGAUCUACUUUUAUUCAGUUCUCUGGAACACUCAAAAAGAUAUUACAGCAUACAACAGAGAAAACUCAUUAAGAGUGUCUACUUAUUUGGACAUACCCAGAGUCCUGUCUUCCUAGGAGAGUGCUUGAAGCUAUUAGGUGUAGGACUGAAUACAGAGAAAUCAGAGAACCAAUCAUCCCAUUUCAAUGUUUGACCAAUCCCAUUUUCCUCCAUGCAAAAGCAAGAGUUCACAAAAUUGAAUUUUAAAAUAGUGAUACAAUGACUUUAAAGAUAUUGGAAAAUGAGGGAAAUACAUAAUAAAGAUUAAGUAUUCUAUUUCACUGAUGGAAGGUAAUGUUAACUAGAUCUGAAAAUGUAAAAGCAGCAAGCUGCCAUUCCCAAAUUGAUAGUGGACAGUGAAGAAAAUGGCUCACUUUGUAUCCAUUGUGGCAUUGGAGUUCUGACAAGCAUGUGGAAUGAGACGGAUAGUAUUUCUGAAGCAUGUAGUAUGUAUUAAUACAUUACCUCAUUCAAUUCUAACACUUAGAAAUCCUGUGAGAUGGAAAUUAUGCCCAUCAUUUACGAAGGAGGAAACAAGCUGAAAGAUUGUUAUGUUGACAUGGCAGGGAUUUGAACUGAAGUUUCUGACUCCAAAGCAGAGAAGAGAACAGAAAAAAAGCAGAUAAAAAUACAGGAAGGCCACUGUAGAAUGUUUUUUUGUUUUGUUUUGUUUUGUUUUUGGUUUGCUUGUUUAUUUUUCUGAGCCAGAGUCUUGCUCUGUCACCAGGCUGGAGUGCAGUGGCGCAAUCUCAGCUCACUGCAACUUCUGCCUCCCAGGUUCAAGAGAUUCUCCUCAUCCUCCCGAGUAGCUGAGACUACAGGUGCGCGCCACCAUGCCCAGCUAAUUUUUUAUUUU
rnacentral:lncRNA from 10 species